rnacentral:lncRNA from 1 species
GCAGUGCGAGUUCAGCCCGCUUUCUUCGCGCUCCGCGUCAAAUCUCUCCAGCUCUGUUCUCGCAUCCCGGGUUUAGAUCCCGCAGAGUUAAGUAUCCCGCGUGUGAAGGGAUGAACUGAGACUCCCAGAGGGCAUAACUGAUGGAGGCACGAAGAUGUCUGCUCUUCAGCUUUGCCAAGGUAGUAUGGUGUAAGGGGCUUUGGGGAAUCCAGACAGACCUGGACUUCACACGCCCGUCAUUUAUUUCACUACUAGUGAAAUGCUGGCGUAGUUACGCCUAAGUUCUCUGAGACUGUCCCUCAUCUCUAAAACCACCCCUCCUCUGGUGAACUAAGGAUGGCGAUAACGCUUUAUGUAAAGUGCCUGGCCAGAUACUCAAUAAAUGUUAAUUUUCCAAGCUUA